GUGAGACAGUUCGGUCCCUAUCUGCCGUGGGUGUAGGAAUAUUGAGAGGAUCUGUCCCUAGUACGAGAGGACCGGGAUGGACGUAUCUCUGGUGGACCUGUUGUGGCGCCAGCCGCAUAGCAGGGUAGCUAUAUACGGAACGGAUAACCGCUGAAGGCAUCUAAGCGGGAAACCGACCUCAAAACGAGUAUUCCCUGAGAGCCGUGGUAGACGACCACGUUGAUAGGCCGGGUGUGGAAGAGCGGCAACGCUUGAAGCUUACCGGUACUAAUAACUCGAUUGGCUUGAUUGUUCUCAUU
rnacentral:rRNA from 1 species